rnacentral:rRNA from 1 species
GAUGGACGCUGGCGGCGUGCCUAAUACAUGCAAGUCGAGCGAACGGACGAGAAGCUUGCUUCUCUGAUGUUAGCGGCGGACGGGUGAGUAACACGUGGAUAACCUACCUAUAAGACUGGGAUAACUUCGGGAAACCGUAGCUAAUACCGGAUAAUAUUUUGAACCGCAUGGUUCAAAAGUGAAAGGCGGUCUUGCUGUCACUUAUAGAUGGAUCCGCGCUGCAUUAGCUAGUUGGUAAGGUAACGGCUUACCAAGGCAACGAUGCAUAGCCGACCUGAGAGGGUGAUCGGCCACACUGGAACUGAGACACGGUCCAGACUCCUACGGGAGGCAGCAGUAGGGAAUCUUCCGCAAUGGGCGAAAGCCUGACGGAGCAACGCCGCGUGAGUGAUGAAGGUCUUCGGAUCGUAAAACUCUGUUAUUAGGGAAGAACAUAUGUGUAAGUAACUGUGCACAUCUUGACGGUACCUAAUCAGAAAGCCACGGCUAACUACGUG